rnacentral:rRNA from 1 species
UAAUACGGAGGUGGCAAGCGUUGUUCGGAUUCAUUGGGUGUAAAGGGUGUGUAGGUGUCCUGAUAAGUCGGGUGUGAAAUCCUUCAGCUUAACUGAAGAAUUGCGCCCGAAACUGCCAGGAUUGAGUGCAUGAGAGGAGAGGGGAAUUCUUGGUGUAAGGGUGAAAUCUGUAGAUAUCAAGAAGAACACCGGUGGCGAAGGCGCCUCUCUGGCGUGCAACUGACACUGAAACACGAAAGCGUGGGUAGCAAACAGGAUUAGAUACCCUGGUAGUCCACGCCGUAAACUAUGUGCACUAGGUGUACCUCCUAUAAAGAGGUGUGCCGCAGCUAACGCAUUAAGUGCACCACCUGGGGAGUACGUCGGCAACGAUG